UGGCUGUUCUGAGAGGCUCUCUGCUAAUCCACAAAAGGGAAAUACAAUCCCUCAGAGGAAUCCCGAAGGCGGCCCUGGCCCCUGGCGCUGCGGGACAGUGCCUGUUAUUCACAGUAGUUCUCUUGACAUUUCCAAGAGAAAAGUAAAGUUUGCAGCCAGGUGUGGCAGUGCACUUGUCAUCCCAGCACUCUGGGAGGCUGAGGGUCGAAAGUUUGAGCCCAACCUGGGUAACUUAGCGAUCUAGGGAGACACUGUGUGAAAAUAAAAAAUAAAAAAGGGCCAAGGAUGGAGCUCAGUGUGAAGGCCCUGGAUUCAGUCCCUGGUAGUGCCAAAAAGUAAAUAUAUUGCAGGUCCACUAGGAGUGAGCCAGUCCGAAGGACAAUAGGAAGUGGGUCAUUGUGCCAGCUGAGCACUGGGGCUUGGGAGGUGGCUGUCAUGGUGAAGAUUCGGGCAGCCUGAGAGGCAGCUGUGUGCCCAGUGUGGUCAGGAUGAGAUGUCCUGGAUCCUGGGCACAAGGCAAAGCCAGAGAUGCCCAGGAGGGCAAGGCCACUGGGCCCGAGCUGUCAGGCUCAGAGGCUGCGGACCGGCCGUGUAGCUGGGGUGAGGAGGGGAGCCAGGCGACAGACAGUGGGGACUGGGGCGUCACCCACAUUUCAGCCUCUCCCUGCAGGCAGGCCGUGUUUCUUCUGCACCUCGUCUUUUUCUGGAGCUCCGAAGUCCGGGUUUCUCCUACGCCAGACACUCAGAGAGCUCAUCUGUGGGCGACCCCAGGUCCCCAGGGUUCCCUUCUCCACGCCUGGACCUAGUAAGGCAGGCGAAGGGUCCUGCGGCAGGGGGAAGGCAGGGAAGCGGCCUCGGGCAGCAAGGGGACAGCACCGCAGCCCUCUCGCUUGGGGUGGGGCCUCGAAGGGGUGGGGCUCCCCUGAAAUGCAGGGUGUGCGCAUGUGCCAGGCAGCGGACACAGUGUGGUCAUCGACUGCGCCUGGUGUUCUGAGCAGUCACUUUUACUUCUGUCCUCCUUGGGGUCCUCAGAGCCGUCGCUGGCCCUGCAGCCCAGCAGCUCAGUUCCUCUAGGAGCCCUCGGGCGGCCAUGUCCCUGGGCCUCAGGAGGAGGCAGCGCCUCAGGGGUCACCCCUCGCACCCUGGCUCCCCCAGCCUUCUUCCUGGCUCCCUGCUCUGGCGCGGCAGCGCCUGCCUCAACUUGCAGCACCCCCACAACGUCUGUACGACUGAGCCCCGAGUCCGAAGCGCUGAGCUGGCAGCUCCUGCCCGCCCCCCCCGCCAUGGGUUCGAGGAGAAGUCAGGAGAACCAGCCCUGGGACGGACAGAGAGAGCGCCCCUCCUCCAGGGGCCACUCUAGCCUCGGCUGCGGUCUCCACUGCUCUGGGUCCUCCAGCUCCUCCCUCGGGUCAUCCACAAGAGGGAGCAGGGCCUUUGCACAGGCCGCGCUGUCUGCCUGGAAGGCUCUGUCCUCCUGCUCUCCCCCGCGGUCGGCCCCUUCUCUGCUCCUCGGCCUGAUGUCCGUCGGUUACAACCUUGAUGGACGAUGGUGCCUAGCUCCUCCACCAUAGGCUCCUGCAGCCCCUGCCUUCCUGCUCCUAAGCGGAGGCCCCGCGUGGGCUGCCUCCUGAGCGCCCCCACAGCGCGCGUGGCUGCACUGCAAGGAGGCCGCCGUCCCGGCCCUAGACCCCCUCUGCGGGCCGCACUGUUGGGGCCUGGUACCGGUACGGAGCCGAGGGCGACCCAGAGGCCCCUUGGUUAAGUCCUUGGGACCAAACUGCUUUAAAACACAGGUACAGAAAGCCCUCAAAAGGCAAAACACCGGAAUUCUCAUACACCCAGUAAUUCUGCUCUGAGGAGUGUGCCCCAAAGUGCCCAGGAGGUCUGGGCACAUGCCUGUCAUCCCAGCACUCGGGAGGCUGAGGCAGGAGGAUCGCUGAGUUCGAGGGCAGUCUCACAUAGGGAGACGCUGUCUCAAAAAUGAAAAGCAAAGCAUUGAAAACAGGGGACAGUUGCACAUGUUGGGGACUGCACCACGACUCCCUACCCUGACGGGCUGACUGCCACCCCCACCCUGCUGCUCAUUCACGAUUGCUCUUCGGGUCACAGCGGAAUGUAGCCCAGUGCAGGAGGUGCCUCACCUGGCAGGCAGUUCCCAUGGUUCUGACCAGGCUGUGCUGAGCUCAAUUAAUCGUCAAGCCUCCCAGGUGCCGGGAUCACUGUGCCUGGCCAAUAGUGGACUCCUGUGCCGACUCCAGUUUGCUGGAUGUCCAUGUGGCGUUAUUCACAGUGGCCAUGGCCGGAAGCCACCCACAGGGCCACAGGGUCCAGGGUCCCCUCCAAGGAAAGCGUGCCCCACACAGGCCACUGGGCCUCAUGGGACACCACUGUGGUGGUUGCCAUGGGAACCGGCGGCUGCAUCCACCUGUUACUUCCCAUCCUCUGGGCCCCAGCAGCAGAACACGGACCAGGACAGACAGGAUCCAAGUGAGGUCCAGCUACCAGCACCCCUGUCCGCAGGUGACAACCGCAGGGAGGCCAGCCUGGGGGACCCCGCUUGGCCCUGGUGCCCCUCCUUUCCCCAGAGCCCUGGCAUUCCUCAGACACGGUCUCCUUGUUUAGCCCAAGCUGGCCUCAAACUUGUGGCAAUCCUGCCUCUGCCUCCCAGGUGCCGGGAUUAUAGAUGUGCACCACAGCUCCCUGCUGGCUUUCAGUUUUAAAUUGAUUUUGCCUUUGAGAUGAUCCAGGAGAUUUGUACAGCUCUGAGACACUUCCUGUGACAGCCAGCAACCAGCUGCCCACCCUGCGCCUGACACUAGAGAGCUCGGGGCGUGCUGUCAGCAGGAGUGGGGACUCGGACAGAGAGGGGCAGGCGCAGCUUCGUCCCCUCUGCUGCAGUGUCCUGUGGUGAUGAGAAGUCACGCGGACCUUGCAGAAGGGUGAGCUCUCAGCAUUGCGCGGGCGCCACCGCAGGGCCCAGCUGGUGUUGGCCUGGCCCUGGGGCGUGCAUCCAUCUCCUGCUGCGAACCUGCCUCCGCCUGCCAUCUGUCCUCAUCUGCCUGUCGCCUACUAGCGGUGUAUCACCUCUUCAUUCAGGAUCUGCCUACUGCUAUCAGUCACCUAUCACUUACCUACUAUCCGUCCCCAUCUAUACACAGCCUUAUCUCCUCCUAGCCCCUAUCUGCCAUCUAUCUGCCUCUCACCUGUCUAUCAGCUGUCAUCUGUCUCCCACCUACCACCUGGUACAGUGGACCUUCCAGUUACCACCGGCCUGACAUACGAACAACUUGGGUUACAACGGGAAUGCACCAGGAAAUGAUUGGUGCUUCUGGUAAAUUACGCACGUUAUACAGCCCUUUUUUAUUAUGAAAAGGUUGGGUAAGGGGUGCUUUGAGAGGGCUUGGAAUGCUUUAUGGAUAUUUCCAUUAUUUCUUAUGGGAAAAAUAGUCUUGACUUGCAACCAACUUGAGUUACACCCAGCCCUGGAGAAAGAAUUGAGUGUGUGAGUCAAGGGUCCAUGGUAUCUACCUACCGCCUGUCUCCACCUGCUGUUACUUGUUUACUGUCUCCCCACUGCCCCACCUCUCCCUGCCCACCCUCAUCUCUGCCCUCGUCUGGGGGCGGGGGCUCCGAGGUGGGGUGUGGAGGAGCACGGGGAGGGGGACCCCAGAUAGAGCCACAGCUUCUUUGACGGUGCCUCAUUCCACCAUUCUGGCUUCGGAACCGCACUAGCACUUUACAGACCUUUAAAAAGCAACUUUUUGUUUGUUCAUUUGUUUGUUUUUUGGUACUGGGGAUCGAACUCGGGACCUUGUGAUUGCGAGGCAGGCACCAGAACCACUGAGCUAAAUCCCUGGCCCUAAGAAGCAACUUUUAAAUGACCAAACAAAGGGAGACCAGUGGGUAAAUAUUUGGGAGCCCGAAAACCAAAUGGGAACAGUUUCAAUUGACUUUUGUUGUUUUUAGUGCUGGGGAUAGAACCCAGGGCCUCGUGCAUGCCAGGCAAGGGCUCCACCACUGAGCUACAUCCUCAGCCCUUUUUAAAUUUUUUAAAUUAAUUAAUUUAAAUUAAAAAAUUUAAAAGGGUCUCGCUAAGUUUCCUAGGCUGGCCAUGAACUUACCACCCUCCUGCCUCGGCCUCCUGAGAAGCCAGGAUUACAGGUGUGCACCAUUGCCCUGGUUCCAAUGGACUUUUACAUGUUUGAGUUUUAAAGUUACCCUCAGUGGGGAGUGCAGGGCAAGAAGAACUAG
ensembl:lncRNA